rnacentral:lncRNA from 1 species
GCGGGGCCGCCGGGCUCAUUAGCAUCCGGCGCCGUGCGACCCCUGCCGGCCAUGGGGCGCCCAAGCCGGGCGAGGCUGCGGGUGCGGAAACUGGAGGCCAACAGGUGCACGGGCUUGCCAAACACCAUGGAACGCCGUGAGGCCGCUGGAAAUCAUUCCAGGAACCUGCGGGGCCGCUGUGCAGAUCUCAUGCAGAUAUUCAGGCACUGGGAAGAAUGCACACAGAGAGACGCCAGCAACCAUGCCUGCUCAAGAGGAAAUCAUGAGGGCUGGGGAUAUAGCUCAGUGGCACAAGCACCUGCCUGGCAAGCGUAAGGUCCUGAGUUUAAUUUCCAGUACCAAAAAAAACAAAAACAAAAACAAAAAAAACAAACAAAAAACCCCCAAUAAACUAAAAAAAAAGAAAAAGGAAAUCAUCCUUCAGCUUCAAGAGACUCAGUGUCUCAUAAGAGACAGAAUUGUCUGUGACAUUUCUAGAGUAAGUUGAAAAACACAAUCUUCUAUGGAUGAUGUCCCACAGCCCGUAUUAGCAUUACUUAGCACCCCCUUUCUGUUAUAUAUCCUGUACAGUAGGACUCCUGAUUUUCAUCAAAAGCAACUGGUAUACUACUUUUA